CUGGGCUGCUGCUAGCUAGCAGGAUUCAGCACAGAGCGGAUGCUAAUAAACUUUUGGCUGUUCAUUGUGCUUAGCCAAAAACCUAAAGAAAUGUUGCAAAGGUGAAUGAGACUUUGGCACAGUAAAGGAUCACAAGAAUUCAUUUUUGGCAGCCUUCAAAUGCUGCGCUGCUGGGCCAAAGAUGAGCUCCAACAGGGUUUACGCUGCAGACUGUGUUGGCUGUGAAGCUCAGUCGGUAGCCCUGUACACUACACGCUUGCCUUAUUUUGCUUCAUACCAUCAUCAGAAUCAAGAAGAGAAUUUAGCUUGGAGAUGAUCUCUCGUCCUAGUCAAAGCUAAUGUGAGAAAGGUUCAGUUCUCCUUGCCGUUCUCCCGCGAAUGCAAAGGGUCAUAUUACAAUCCAUUGAAGUUUUGUGAAUCUGAAGAAAAAAAAAUCAGCGACAGGACUCACCAUCUGUUGCAUAAUGAAAGAGACAUGUGAAUAAUAGAACGUCAGUUGAAAGGAAAGGUAGCUGCUUCUUUACUCCUACAGACACAAAAGAAGAUCACCCCUGCCAUCACACUGUGAGCUGCCCUGAAGUGUGAGCUAUUUCAGCUGUUGAGCAGCCUUUUGUGACUUCUGAGAAAGAACCGAUGGAGAAACUGAGACAGAGCCAAGUUGAAUGGCUUGGUGAAGGUCACGCAGGGUGUUGAAACAGCUGGCAAUAGAAACCAAG